UGUUUGAAUAAUUUUGUUUUCUAUUUGUUUCAUUCUCUAAAUCUGCUGUGAGUCAUAAAGCGUUUACAAGGAGGCCGAACAGCGGCCUGACACUCCAGAAGUUCUACAUUCUUAAAGCAACACUGUCGUGUGGGAAGAGUUGUCAUUUCUUUCCUGGCAUCAGACACAGAUAAUACAUCCGAAAUAGCUUGCUGUGUGUUGCACCAAGUAGAUGGCUUCCUUCCGGUAAAGUGCAGAGAGCUGACAUAUAGAGAGCAGCAUUACUUCAUUAGUAGCGUGAGUGUCCAACGCCUAGACAGAUACCUCUGAUACCCAGGAGGAUGCACAAUUCAGUUUGACCACAGACCAUUGUCUACUAGCAGAUACACUGUCAAGACUUAGCAUAUUUGUAUUAGUUAUAAUUGAUAGAAUUCAUUUUUUUCCUCAAUACAAUGUGAAACGUGCCUUUAACUAUUAGAGAUGGUAUCUUGUCGAAUAUUAUUGCUAUACAUAGGAGUUGAUCUUUUCUUGUAUUUUUGCUGUUUUACAUAUUAAAUAUUAACGUGGGAAGGACUAUGCCUGCCGACUUCAAAUUGUAAUUUAACUCUCCAUGCCACUAUUUUUUUUUCUCAUUUAUUCUUUUCUCUCUUUCCCUUUGUUGUAAAUAGCUGGACAUAUUUCUUUUGAUAGGUUAAUAAGGGCUAUUUCACUUUAAUGUACAUUAUGUACAUUGGUGUGUAGAUAUAUAUGUUUAUAUAUAUGUAUAUAAGUAUGUGUAUGACACAGUGUGUGUAUGUAUAUAUAUUUAUGAAUAUAUUUGAAUGACUGUUAUCUAAUAACAGUCAUAUCGUGAGAGGGGGGAUGUCAGGGAGAGGUAUGGCGAGAAUGAAUGUUAGUUUGAUAUUUUGGUAUGAUUGUUAUAUCCCCUUGUUAUGAAUGUGAAGUGUUGCACGUGUUGUGAACUGAGUGAUUAAGUCUUCAUUGAAUGUGCGAGAGAAUGUGUUAAGUCAGUAAGGUCUUGCUCCUGGUCCAGGAAGGUUGGACGUUUACUUCCUGGACUGGUAUUUAUGCAUUUAUAUAUUUAUAAGUUGAUGGACUGGUGUUUUGUUUAUUAAUAUUUACUUGAGCAAUAUUGGAUAUUAAAAUAUUGAUAUAUUCUUGGA